rnacentral:rRNA from 1 species
AGUGGGGGAUAACGUAGCGAAAGUUACGCUAAUACCGCAUAUGCCCUGAGGGGGAAAGGAGGGGAUCGUAAGACCUUUCGCUUUCGGAGUGGCUGAUAUCAGAUUAGCUAGUUGGUGAGGUAAAGGCUCACCAAGGCGACGAUCUGUAGCGGGUCUGAGAGGAUGAUCCGCCACACUGGGACUGAGACACGGCCCAGACUCCUACGGGAGGCAGCAGUGGGGAAUUUUGGACAAUGGGCGCAAGCCUGAUCCAGCCAUGCCGCGUGAGUGAAGAAGGCCUUCGGGUUGUAAAGCUCUUUCAGCCGGAAAGAAAUCAUGCUUACUAAUACUAAGUGUGGAUGACGGUACCGGAAGAAGAAGCACCGGCUAACUACGUGCCAGCAGCCGCGGUAAUACGUAGGGUGCGAGUGUUAAUCGGAAUUACUGGGCGUAAAGCGUGCGCAGGCGGUUUUUUAAGACAGACGUGAAAUCCCCGGGCUUAACCUGGGAACUGCGUUUGUGACUGGAAGGCUAGAGUACGGCAGAGGGGGGUAGAAUUCCA